UUUUGAGAGAUCAAAGUGCAUUUUUUUCUAAGAAAAUAAACCAAAUCAGCAGCCCCCUCUCUUUUCUUCUUCUUCUUCCCGCAAAUGAGCCUCCCCACCCCCAUUUCUCACCCAUUUUCUUCCAUAACCGUCGCCCCUUUCUACCAUCCAGCCACUUGUUGACCUUAUUUUGCGAAUCUGACAUCGGAAAUGGACUCCCCACCACCGAAAACAUUUAUAGCAGCCCUCUCCUCUAUUUUUCCGUCGCUGUAAGCUGUGUCCAAGUCUCACCGGAGCUGAAGCUUUCUGGCCUCGGUCCGGUGGCUUCCGGUGAGAUUCCGGCAAAGAUAUUUGCAUAUCUGGACUCCACGGAUCUCAAGCUUCGCAUAAAUGCCCCCGGAUCCAAAUUCUGACACCAUUUACUGUACCAAUUUUUGAACUCCAGUGUUUUUCUGACGCCGAGAAUUUUAAAUUUUUAGCUCGAUGAGACGGCAGUAGAACAUGUCAUUUCAUGGAUUGCAUUAGGACCACAUGUGUACCGAUAUAAAUCAGAGACACGUAACAAGGGAAUAUUUAUGUGAUGCCCUGGUCGAGCAUAGCUCUCUGGGCUUACGAAAAUUAUGAUUUGCCGGAGGAAAAGACCCUAGUCGAGCAUCACUCUGUAAGCGCCAGCUAUAUUAGUAAUUAAAUGGCCAGACUGGAAUUAAGGACCCUGAUCGAGUUUUACUCUAUUGCGCCAGUCUUAUUAGAAAUAAGAGAGUCGAUUGGCUAAUAGAAUUGGAGUAUAGGAUUCUGCUAAUGUUCUCGUCCUGUAUUUAUUAAAUUGAACUUUCUGAAAAUAUGACAUGAUAUGCAUUUUAAUUA